GUCGAGCGGAACGAGUUAUCUGANCCUUCGGGGAACGAUAACGGCGUCGAGCGGCGGACGGGUGAGUAAUGCCUAGGAAAUUGCCCUGAUGUGGGGGAUAACCAUUGGAAACGAUGGCUAAUACCGCAUAAUGCCUACGGGCCAAAGAGGGGGACCUUCGGGCCUCUCGCGUCAGGAUAUGCCUAGGUGGGAUUAGCUAGUUGGUGAGGUAAUGGCUCACCAAGGCGACGAUCCCUAGCUGGUCUGAGAGGAUGAUCAGCCACACUGGAACUGAGACACGGUCCAGACUCCUACGGGAGGCAGCAGUGGGGAAUAUUGCACAAUGGGCGCAAGCCUGAUGCAGCCAUGCCGCGUGUGUGAAGAAGGCCUUCGGGUUGUAAAGCACUUUCAGUCGUGAGGAAGGUAGUGUAGUUAAUAGCUGCAUUAUUUGACGUUAGCGACAGAAGAAGCACCGGCUAACUCCGUGCCAGCAGCCGCGGUAAUACGGAGGGUGCGAGCGUUAAUCGGAAUUACUGGGCGUAAAGCGCAUGCAGGUGGUUUGUUAAGUCAGAUGUGAAAGCCCGGGGCUCAACCUCGGAAUAGCAUUUGAAACUGGCAGACUAGAGUACUGUAGAGGGGGGUAGAAUUUCAGGUGUAGCGGUGAAAUGCGUAGAGAUCUGAAGGAAUACCGGUGGCGAAGGCGGCCCCCUNNACAGAUACUGACACUCANAUGCGAAAGCGUGGGGAGCANCAGGAUUAGAUACCCU
rnacentral:rRNA from 1 species